AAGUCGAACGGUGAAGCAGAGCUUGCUCUGUGGAUCAGUGGCGAACGGGUGAGUAACACGUGAGCAAUCUGCCCCUGACUCUGGGAUAAGCGCUGGAAACGGCGUCUAAUACCGGAUACGAGCUGCGACCGCAUGGUCAGUAGCUGGAAAGAAUUUCGGUCAGGGAUGAGCUCGCGGCCUAUCAGCUUGUUGGUGAGGUAAUGGCUCACCAAGGCGUCGACGGGUAGCCGGCCUGAGAGGGUGACCGGCCACACUGGGACUGAGACACGGCCCAGACUCCUACGGGAGGCAGCAGUGGGGAAUAUUGCACAAUGGGCGCAAGCCUGAUGCAGCAACGCCGCGUGAGGGAUGACGGCCUUCGGGUUGUAAACCUCUUUUAGCAGGGAAGAAGCGAAAGUGACGGUACCUGCAGAAAAAGCGCCGGCUAACUACGUGCCAGCAGCCGCGGUAAUACGUAGGGCGCAAGCGUUAUCCGGAAUUAUUGGGCGUAAAGAGCUCGUAGGCGGUCUGUCGCGUCUGCUGUGAAAACCCGAGGCUCAACCUCGGGCCUGCAGUGGGUACGGGCAGACUAGAGUGCGGUAGGGGAGAUUGGAAUUCCUGGUGUAGCGGUGGAAUGCGCAGAUAUCAGGAGGAACACCGAUGGCGAAGGCAGAUCUCUGGGCCGUAACUGACGCUGAGGAGCGAAAGGGUGGGGAGCAAACAGGCUUAGAUACCCUGGUAGUCCACCCCGUAAACGUUGGGAACUAGUUGUGGGGUCCAUUCCACGGAUUCCGUGACGCAGCUAACGCAUUAAGUUCCCCGCCUGGGGAGUACGGCCGCAAGGCUAAAACUCAAAGGAAUUGACGGGGACCCGCACAAGCGGCGGAGCAUGCGGAUUAAUUCGAUGCAACGCGAAGAACCUUACCAAGGCUUGACAUAUAGAGGAAACGUCUGGAAACAGUCGCCCCGCAAGGUCUCUAUACAGGUGGUGCAUGGUUGUCGUCAGCUCGUGUCGUGAGAUGUUGGGUUAAGUCCCGCAACGAGCGCAACCCUCGUUCUAUGUUGCCAGCACGUAAUGGUGGGAACUCAUGGGAUACUGCCGGGGUCAACUCGGAGGAAGGUGGGGAUGACGUCAAAUCAUCAUGCCCCUUAUGUCUUGGGCUUCACGCAUGCUACAAUGGCCGGUACAAAGGGCUGCAAUACCGUGAGGUGGAGCGAAUCCCAAAAAGCCGGUCCCAGUUCGGAUUGAGGUCUGCAACUCGACCUCAUGAAGUCGGAGUCGCUAGUAAUCGCAGAUCAGCAACGCUGCGGUGAAUACGUUCCCGGGUCUUGUACACACCGCCCGUCAAGUCAUGAAAGUCGGUAACACCUGAAGCCGGUGGCCCAACCCUUGUGGAGGUA
rnacentral:rRNA from 1 species